GUUAGCUCAGUUAAUAGAGCGGUCCACUGGAAAUGGAGAGGUUCCUGGUUCGAUACUAGGAC
rnacentral:tRNA from 1 species